rnacentral:misc_RNA from 1 species
UUGAUCAUUCAAUUCUUCUCGGACAUAAGGCUUUGGGGCAUGAAGGCGGCGCCCGGAAGUGGGGGGGCACCGAAGCACGUCUGGCUCUGUUCCACGAGGGUGAUGGGGUUUCGAAGGCACGGAGGCCAUUCGCCAAUGAUCCCUCCGCAGGUUCACCUACGGAGA